rnacentral:rRNA from 1 species
UGGGAAUUUUGGACAAUGGGCGAAAGCCUGAUCCAGCAAUGCCGCGUGUGUGAAGAAGGCCUUCGGGUUGUAAAGCACCUUUGUCCGGAAAGAAAUCCUUGGCUCUAAUACAGUCGGGGGAUGACGGUAUCGGAAGAAUAAGCACCGGCUAACUACGUGCCAGCAGCCGCGGUAAUACGUAGGGUGCAAGCGUUAAUCGGAAUACUGGGCGUAAAGCGUGCGCAGGCGGUUUGCUAAGACCGAUGUGAAAUCCCCGGGCUCAACCUGGGAACUGCAUUGGUGACUGGCAGGCUAGAGUAUGGCAGAGGGGGGUAGAAUUCCACGUGUAGCAGUGAAAUGCGUAGAGAUGUGGAGGAAUACCGAUGGCGAAGGCAGCCCCCUGGGCCAAUACUGACGCUCAUGCACGAAAGCGUGGGGAGCAAACAGGAUUAGAUACCCUGGUAGUCCACGCCCUAAACGAUGUCAACUAGUUGUUGGGGAUUCAUUUCCUUAGUAACGUAGCUAACGCGUGAAGUUGACCGCCUGGGGAGUACGGUCGCAAGAUUAAAA